GACGAACGCUGGCGGCGUGCCUAACACAUGCAAGUUGAGCGGAGAAAUUAAAGCUUGCUUUAAUUUCUUAGCGGCGGACGGGUGAGUAACACGUGGGCAACCUGCCCUUGAGAGGGGGAUAACACAGAGAAAUUUGUGCUAAUACCGCAUAACAUUUAGACUUCGCCUGGAGUUUAAAUCAAAGGAGUAAUCCGCUCAAGGAUGGGCCCGCGGCGCAUUAGCUAGUUGGUGAGGUAAUGGCUCACCAAGGCGACGAUGCGUAGCCGACCUGAGAGGGUGAUCGGCCACAUUGGAACUGAGACACGGUCCAGACUCCUACGGGAGGCAGCAGUGGGGAAUAUUGCGCAAUGGGGGAAACCCUGACGCAGCAACGCCGCGUGAGCGAUGAAGGCCUUCGGGUUGUAAAGCUCUGUCUUUGGGGACGAUAAUGACGGUACCCAAGGAGGAAGCCACGGCUAACUACGUGCCAGCCGCCGCGGUAACAC
rnacentral:rRNA from 1 species